GAUGAACGCUAGCGGCAGGCCUAAUACAUGCAAGACGAACGGUAAGUUGAGUAGCAAUACUUAGCCAAGAGUGUCGUACGGGUGCGUAACACGUAUGCAACCUACCCUAUACAGGAGGAUAGCCUAGGGAAACCUGGAUUAACCCUUCAUAGUAUUAUUGGAUGGCAUCAUUUGAUAAUUAAAACUGAGGUGGUAUAGGAUGGGCAUGCGUCUGAUUAGUUAGUUGGCGGGUAAUGGCCCACCAAGACGAUGAUCAGUAGGGGUUCUGAGAGGAAGAUCCCCCACACUGGCACUGAGAUACGGGCCAGACUCCUACGGGAGGCAGCAGUAGGAAUAUGGUCAAUGGAUGCAAGUCUGAACCAGCCAUGCCGCGUGCAGGAAGAAGGCUCUGUGUA
rnacentral:rRNA from 1 species